rnacentral:lncRNA from 1 species
CGGGCUUAGAGGGCUGGAGUGGCCGCCGAGUUGGAGGCGGUGGUGGCAGCAGUAGGAGUGUGUAGAGUGCGGGAUUGGGGCCCAGGCCCUGCGGAGGGCGGGGGAAGUUGUCUUCUUUUUUUUCCGGAGGGGCCGGUAAACCUGGUGGCUGAACGGCAAGAUGAAUUUCCUCCGCGGGGUAAUGGGGGGUCAGAGUGCCGGACCCCAGCACACAGAAGCCGAGACGGUUGGAGUGCAGUGGCGUAAACAUGGGUUACAGUGGCUUCAACCUCCUGGCUUUAAGCAAUC